ensembl:lncRNA
GAGAAGGGUCCCCAGGUAUUGCGUUGGGAAUUGUCCCCAGGUAUUGAAUUGAGAUGUGUCCCCAAGUAUUACAUUGGGAAGUGUCCCCAGGUAUUGAAUUGAGAAGGGUCCCCAGUUAUUACUAUGGGAAGUGUUCCCAGGUAUUAUGUUGGGAAGUGUCCCCAGGUACUGAAUUGAGAAGUGUCCUCAGGUAUUGAAUUGAGAAGGGUCCCCAGGGACUGAAUUGAGAAGUGUCCUCAGGUAUUAAAUUGAGAAGGGUCCCCAGGUAUUGAAUUGAGACCUGUCCCCAAGUAUUACAUUGGGAAGGGUCCCCAGGUAUUAAAUUGAGAAGGGUCCCCAGGUAUUAAUUUGAGAAGUGUCCCCAGGUAUUGAAUUAAGAGGUGUCCCCAAGUAUUACAUUGGGAAGUGUCCCCAGGUUUUGAAUUGAGAAGGGUCCCCAGUUAUUACUUUGGGAAGUGUUCCCAGGUAUUAUGUUGGGAAGUGUCCCCAGGUAUUGAAUUGAGAAGGGUCCCCAGUUAUUACUUUGGGAAGUGUUCCCAGGUAUUAUGUUGGGAAGUGUCCCCAGGUACUGAAUUGAGAAGUUUCCCCAGGUAAUAAAUUGAGAUGUGUUCCCAGGUCUUGAAUUGAGAAGGGUCCCCAGGUAUUGAAUUGAGAAGGGUCCCCAGGUCUUGAAUUGAGAAGGGUCCCCAGGUAUUGAAUUGAGAAGGGUCCCCAGGUAUUAAAUUGAGACGUGAUGGAAAGCAGAGAAAAAGGAUCCAAAUGAAACACUAAAGAGUAAAGAGACCAUACACAGAUUUGUCGAUUCCAGGCUCACUCUACUGCUAGUAUACAAGGUUGUAAUCACUACCCAUAACUAAUAGUAAUUUGACAUUUAGCUGACACUUUACUGAGCAACAAAGUCUGCAGUUCCAAAUUCACUUGAUAGAGACAAAUGUGACAUUAACAUUUUUAGAGGGAGAAUGUCUUGGCAUUAUUAUUUUAUAUUCAU